UACGUAGGGAGCAAGCGUUGUUCGGAUUUACUGGGCGUAAAGGGCGCGUAGGCGGCAUAUUAAGUCAUCUGUGAAAUCUCGGAGCUUAACUCCGAAACUGCAUUCGAUACUGCCGUGCUUGAGGACUGGAGAGGAGACUGGAAUUUACGGUGUAGCGGUGAAAUGCGUAGAUAUCGUAAGGAAGACCAGUGGCGAAGGCGGGUCUCUGGACAGUUCCUGACGCUGAGGCACGAAGGUCAGGGGAGCAAACGGG
rnacentral:rRNA from 1 species